UUGCUUUCCUUUUCGCCUCGCCUGGACUCCAUCCCCUAAAAAAAAAAGUCUCGUCUGGACUCCACCGAUCUUGCAGCAUCAAUGGCCGGAGCCGGAGAAAAUGACGACGAAGUAGCUCCUCCUACUUCUCCUGCUCUCUCCUCCAGCCCAGCAAGUAAGCAGCAAAAGAAGAAGUAAGCAGCAGUAAUGCCCAUGGACGACGCGGCGGCGGAGCACCAGCGCGGCGUCGGCGACGAGCCUUCCUUCCCGACGGAAAACCUUCGUGUGUUACAGAACCUGACAAAGACCAUAUGACAUGUUUAUGCAUAUGCAUUUGACAUUUGAGGCAUAUGACUUGUCAAUUAGCUGUCUUCCCUAGAGAGCCAAGAUAAUAGAGUUCUUCAACGUGCCCACUGUUUAGAUAUUGCGCCCCGCCUGAAGACGUUACAUUUGGAUAUGGUAUAUCUGAACCUUGACGACGUUGGGAAGGCUCACAUAUGCGUCACCAUGAGCAGUUUUCGGUGCUAGAAUGCUCAGGUUGAGUUGGCGUGCUGUAUCUUGUAAAUGCUUGUGUUCUCGAGCACAUGGGAAUACAGCCAAUCAAAAAAUCAUGGCAUCAAGUAGGUGCCCCCCUUCAUAGUGAUCGAGUGAGCCGAUCUUUGACUGUCCCCAUAUGUGCAGUGUCUGCUAUGACCAUGCCAUCUUUUUUUGAACUUACAAGAGGUUAUUAUUCGCCCCCGUCAGGAGCCGCUGAAGCUACUACUUCUUUUCUACUGAUUGUUCAAACAAAGUUUGAGGUCGAGCGAGCGAGCGCGCCGAUGAUGGCAUCUGUAAUACUGAUGAUGGUGGGUGUUGUAAACUGAAACCCAGUUGGCUGGGUUCUUGAGAGCCUGCCGCGCAAAGAGGUGAUGAUGUCAAUGCGAUGGUUAAACUUGAUUUGGUUUA